rnacentral:lncRNA from 1 species
AUAUAUAACAUAUUGAUGGGCGUCAAAACCACCAAAUAUAAAUUCCUACGACAAAUAUAACAAUAAAUUGAAAUAUAGAGUAGUAGGGUCGAAUCCACAAAGACUGGUUAUCUAAUUCACCUUUUCUAGUGACCAGGUUCGCUGUUGCUGCCACAGUAGUGCCCACGACUUGUGCGUAAUAAUGCUAAAAAAAAUAAAAAAA